rnacentral:lncRNA from 1 species
GGGGACGGGACUAGCCAGGGGGAACUAAUGCUAGUAAGUGGCGCGUAUUCAUCUCUCUGGGGGAAAGCUAAAAAAAAAAAAAGAGCGAGAAAAGUGCUAAAUAUACGAGCCGGAGCGGCAGCCAAGUAGACACUUAGCUGCGAACGUUAAUUUCUCCAUCUGUCAGGUCGAUUUUCACAUGUAGGAACAUCGCCGCGCGCUCGCGGAGCGACUGCGGAGCGGUGCCCGGCGGCGGCUGCGCCCCGCGCAUCUGCCCGCGGGGGCGGCGCAGCCCCCGACGGCGAGCGGCGACGCGCAAGGCGCGGGGGGGAAGGGGCCCGUCCCGUCCCGGCGCCCCCCUUCGCCGCUCGCCCUCAGCCCAGCGCCCGCUCCGCGCCCGCGGCUUUCCCGCCUCCGCCCUCCGCGGCGGGACCGGCAGCCCCGACGCGCUCCGUUUUAUUCCCUUCCAUCCCCUCCUCCCCACUCCGGAGGGACUCGGGAGUUUCAGUGUGAAGGAGUCAGCUGUGGCAGUGCCGCCGCUUCGCUCGCACCGGUUUGGGACCGGCUUCUAGGGUCACUAGGAAAAGCCAAAACCCCUCAGCCCCACACCCCGUCCCGCCCUGGCCGCGGCCCCCCGCCCCGCUCACCCCACCCCCCCGCCGGGCCCCUCCUCCCCGGCCCUCCGAGCACUUCGGCAGCUUUUUUCCGACGUGCUGCGGGGCUCUGGGUCCUUUCCCGUGCCGCCGUGGGGAGCGCACUCCUCCUCCCUCUCCCACCCCCUCUCCCGACUUCCAGCCCAAACUUUACUCCUCUCGCAACAUGGGAGGCAACAUCACCUAGCGCCGAGCCGCGGCAGCCUGGACGGGGGGGACGCGAGGAGCUGAGCUUGCGGCACCCCCGGCCGUCGCCUCUCCCCGCCGUCGGCUCCCGCGCCCCGCUAUGGGCGCCGCGCCGCCCGCGCUAGGGUGCGGAGCGGGGCGCAUCCCGCCGCCASCAUGAUCGCGGCCGCGGGCAGGAAGGCUCCGGGACCGGAGCCCCGGGCGCCGGGGGUAAGUCGACGCAACCCUCCUCCCCGGCGGCGUUUUUCUUUNNNNNNNNNNNNNNNNN